AAUAUGGGGGGACCAUCCUCCAAGGCUAAAUACUCCUGACUGACCGAUAGUGAACCAGUACCGUGAGGGAAAGGCGAAAAGAACCCCGGCGAGGGGAGUGAAAAAGAACCUGAAACCGUGUACGUACAAGCAGUGGGAGCCUACUUGUUAGGUGACUGCGUACCUUUUGUAUAAUGGGUCAGCGACUUAUAUUCUGUAGCAAGGUUAACCGUAUAGGGGAGCCGCAGGGAAACCGAGUCUUAACUGGGCGUUAAGUUGCAGGGUAUAGACCCGAAACCCGGUGAUCUAGCCAUGGGCAGGUUGAAGGUUGGGUAACACUAACUGGAGGACCGAACCGACUAAUGUUGAAAAAUUAGCGGAUGACUUGUGGCUGGGGGUGAAAGGCCAAUCAAACCGGGAGAUAGCUGGUUCUCCCCGAAAGCUAUUUAGGUAGCGCCUCGUGAACUCAUCUUCGGGGGUAGAGCACUGUUUCGGCUAGGGGGUCAUCCCGACUUACCAACCCGAUGCAAACUACGAAUACCGAAGAAUGUUAUCACGGGAGACACACGGCGGGUGCUAACGUCCGUCGUGAAGAGGGAAACAACCCAGACCGCCAGCUAAGGUCCCAAAGUCAUGGUUAAGUGGGAAACGAUGUGGGAAGGCACAGACAGCCAGGAUGUUGGCUUAGAAGCAGCCAUCAUUUAAAGAAAGCGUAAUAGCUCACUGGUCGAGUCGGCCUGCGCGGAAGAUGUAACGGGGCUAAACCAUGCACCGAAGCUGCGGCAGCGACACUAUGUGUUGUUGGGUAGGGGAGCGUUCUGUAAGCCGUUGAAGGUGGCCUGUGAGGGUUGCUGGAGGUAUCAGAAGUGCGAAUGCUGACAUAAGUAACGAUAAAGCGGGUGAAAAGCCCGCUCGCCGGAAGACCAAGGGUUCCUGUCCAACGUUAAUCGGGGCAGGGUGAGUCGACCCCUAAGGCGAGGCCGAAAGGCGUAGUCGAUGGGAAACAGGUUAAUAUUCCUGUACUCGGUGUUACUGCGAAGGGGGGACGGAGAAGGCUAUGUUAGCCGGGCGACGGUUGUC
rnacentral:rRNA from 1 species